UACGGAGGAUGCAAGCGUUAUCCGGAUUCAUUGGGUUUAAAGGGUGCGCAGGCGGGGACGUAAGUCAGUGGUGAAAGCUGCCGCUUAACGGUAGUCUUGCCAAUGAUACUACGUUUCUUGAGUAUGGUUAAGGUAGGCGGAAUGUGCAGUGUAGCGGUGAAAUGCAUAGAGAUUGCACAGAAGGCCGAUUGCGGAGGCAGCUUACUGAGCCAUAACUGACGCUGAGGCACGAAAGCGUGGGGAUCGAACAGGAUUA
rnacentral:rRNA from 1 species